rnacentral:rRNA from 1 species
AAUAGCCUAACGGCUGAACCAGCAAUUUGCGUGAACGGAAUGGGGAAAUGUAGUAUCUUUACGCUUGGUUUGUGUAAGGGUAUGUUUCCGAGUGGUUUACCCACAUAAAGUUCUAGAUAGAUGACUGAUUAUGACAAUUUUCUAUCUAAUAGUCUUGACUAAAUCACGUGCCAGCUGUCGCGGUAAUACGGGAAAGACAAGUGUUAUUCAUCUUUAAUAGGUUUAAAGGGUACCUAGACUGGGUUAUGAACUCUCGCUUGUUAUGUAAAACACAAGACACAUAAUAGUUAACUAUUUAAUGUAAACAUAAACCGCUUACAUAAAUAGUUGUACUUUUGAUGUUAGAGUACAAAAAUCCUAGAGUUUUAUGUGAGAGGGAUAUCAGUAUUGACAGAGUAAAGAUGAAAUUUUUUGAUACUGUUAGGCACUGGUAAAGGCGAAGGCAAUCCUUUAUGUAAAAACUGACGUUGAGGGACGAAGGCUUGGGUAGCAAACAGGAUUAGGUACCCUAAUAGUCCUUGCAGAAAAUGAUGAGUGCCAUAGGCUAGAUGUAUUUGGUCUAUAAAUGAAAGUGUAAGCAUUCCACCUCAAGAGUAAUGUGGCAACGCAGGAACUGAAAUCAUUAGACCGUUUCUGAAACCAGUAGUGAAGUAUGUUGUUUAAUUCGAUAAUCCACGAAAAACCUUACCACGAUUUGAAUAUUAUAUUUUUAUGUACAAAUCUUACAUAUAUUUUGUAUUUUUACAGGUGCUGCACGGCUGUUUUUAGUUAAUGUCGUGAGAUGCAGGUUAGCUCCAAUGAAUUAACGUAAACCCUUGCUAUAUUUAUUUUUAUAUAGUAGUUCUCCGUUUUUCGGAUAAGAUAACAGGGGUCAAGGCAAGUACUCGCGGCCCUAAUAUCGU